rnacentral:rRNA from 1 species
CCCUUAGAUGUCCUGGGCUGCACGCGCGCUACACAGGAAGUUACGGAUUGAGAUACUACCUUGUCCGAAAUGGUCCGGGUAAUCACCUAAAAGCUUGUCAUAAUUGGAAUGGAUUAUUGUAACUAGUAAUCCUGAACGAGGAAUUCCUAGUAAGUCCCAGUCAACAGCUGGUACUGAUUACGUCCCUGCCCUUUGUACACACCGCCCGUCGCUACUACUGAUUGGACGUUUAAGCAAGAUUUUUAAACACUGACAGUGUGUAGUUCACGCUAUACUACAGUGAGAAGAAGAAGAUCGAGCUUACUUGUCUAGAGGAAGUAAAAGUCGUAACA